GAUGAACGCUGGCGGCGUGCUUAACACAUGCAAGUCGAGCGAAGCGCUUUGGUUAGAUUCUUCGGAUGAAGACCUUUGUGACUGAGCGGCGGACGGGUGAGUAACGCGUGGGUAACCUGCCUCAUACAGGGGAGGUAACUAACGUAGGUAAAGUAAGUACGUACGUCGUAACUUAAACCGUACCCGAUAAAGUAAACCGAACCCAACGUAACCGGUACCGACUAGGUUAC
rnacentral:rRNA from 1 species